rnacentral:rRNA from 1 species
CAGCGCCACGGUAAUACGUAGGGGGCAAGCGUUAUCCGGAAUUACUGGGUGUAAAGGGAGCGUAGACGGUUAAACAAGUCUGAAGUGAAAUGCCGGGGCUCAACCCCGGAGCUGCUUUGGGAACUGUAGAACUGGAGUGUCGGAGGGGUAAGCGGAAUUCCCAGUGUAGCGGUGAAAUGCGUAGAUAUUGGGAGGAACACCGGCGGCGAAGGCGGCUUACUGGACGACAACUGACGUUGAGGCUCGAAGGCGUGGGUAGCAAACAGGAUUAGAGACCCCUGUAGUCCUGUCUCUUAUACAC